GAUGAACGCUGGCGGCGUGCUUAACACAUGCAAGUCGAACGAAGCAUUUGCGACAGAUUUUUUCGGAAUGAAGUUGCUUAUGACUGAGUGGCGGACGGGUGAGUAACGCGUGGGUAACCUGCCUUGUACUGGGGGAUAGCAGCUGGAAACGGCUGGUAAUACCGCAUAAGCGCACAAUGUUGCAUGACAUGGUGUGAAAAACUCCGGUGGUAUAAGAUGGACCCGCGUCUGAUUAGCUAGUUGGUGAGAUAACAGCCCACCAAGGCGACGAUCAGUAGCCGACCUGAGAGGGUGACCGGCCACAUUGGGACUGAGACACGGCCCAGACUCCUACGGGAGGCAGCAGCGGGGAAUAUUGCACAAUGGAGGAAACUCUGAUGCAGCGACGCCGCGUGAGUGAAGAAGUAAUUCGUUAUGUAAAGCUCUAUCAGCAGGGAAGAUAGUGACGGUACCUGACUAAGAAGCUCCGGCUAAAUACGUG
rnacentral:rRNA from 1 species